UACGUAGGGGGCAAGCGUUGUCCGGAUUUAUUGGGCGUAAAGAGCGUGUAGGCGGCUUGUUAAGUCUUGCGUGAAAUCUCGGGGCUCAACCCCGAGCGGUCGUGAGAAACUGGCAGGCUAGAGUGCGGGAGAGGAGAGUGGAAUUCCUGGUGUAGCGGUGAAAUGCGCAGAUAUCAGGAAGAACACCCGUGGCGAAGGCGGCUCUCUGGAACGCAACUGACGCUGAGACGCGAAAGCGUGGGGAGCAAACAGG
rnacentral:rRNA from 1 species